AGCUUUGUGAUAGUAACCAAUGAGGUUCUGCCGAGGUGCGAUUACUGCUAGUUGAAAACUAACUCACAUGUAUUUUUUAGAGAAAGUUUUUUUUCUAUUUUAUUUAUUUGGAUACAAGCGAUGAAAAAAUUCAGUUUUUGACAUACCCCCGGAU